GUGGAUUUUCUUGUAAUAUCCAAAAAUGGAGCAAGUGGAGACUACCCUGGGUGCACCGACUUGGCCUAUUCAAAGGCUAUCAAAGAUGGUGCUGACAUCAUCGACUGUUCUGUUCAAAUGUCGUUGGACGGGAUCCCGUUUUGCUUAAACUCAGUUGAUCUUGGAGAGAGCACGAACAUUGUCCAAAGCCCUUUCAGAAACCGUUCAUCAACUGUUCCUGAGAUCGCUCCUCUUGGUGGAUUAUACAGCUUUAGUCUGACAUGGUCUGAGAUUCAGACCUUGAGACGUAUAAUCCCACAAACCCCAAAAAGCUCUUUUACUUCUCUCUCUCUCUCUCUCUCUCUCUCUCUUCUUCCUCACAGCAAAGCAAAUCUCGUUCCAUGUAAUAUCCAAAAAUGGAGCAAGUGGAGACUACCCUGGGUGCACCGACUUGGCCUAUUCAAAGGCUAUCAAAGAUGGUGCUGACAUCAUCGAUUGUUCUGUUCAAAUGUCGUUGGACGGGAUCCCGUUUUGCUUAAACUCAGCUGAUCUUGGGGAGAGCACGAACAUUGUCCAAAGCCCUUUCAGAAACCGUUCAUCAACUGUUCCUGAGAUCGCUCCUCUUGGUGGAUUAUACAGCUUUAGUCUGACAUGGUCUGAGAUUCAGACCUUGAGAC
rnacentral:lncRNA from 1 species